AUACGUAGGGUGCAAGCGUUAAUCGGAAUUACUGGGCGUAAAGCGUGCGCAGGCGGUUUUUGAAGACAGAGGGGAAAUCCCCGGGCUCAACCCGGGAACUGCCUUUGUGACUGCAAGGCUAGAGUACGGCAGAGGGGGAUGGAAUUCCGCGUGUAGCAGUGAAAUGCGUAGAUAUGCGGAGGAAAACCGAUGGCGAAGGCAAUCCCCAGGGCCUGUACUGACGCUGAGGCACGAAAGCGUGGGGAGCAAACAGGAUUAGAUACCCUGGUAGUCCACGCCCUAAGCGAUGUCAACGUGUUGUUGGGUCUUCAUUGACUCAGUAACGAAGCUAACGCGUGAAGUUGACCGCCUGGGGAGUACGGCCGAAAGGUUGAAACUCAAAUGAAUUGACGGG
rnacentral:rRNA from 1 species